ensembl:miRNA
AAAGUUCAUUCGGGUUUUUCUCUACAAUCUUCUGGGAAAAUCCAAAUGAACUUUUUU